UCCUCUGUAGUUCAGUCGGUAGAACGGCGGGCUGUUAAUCCGUAUGUCACUGGCUCGAGUCCAGUCAGAGGAGCCA
rnacentral:tRNA from 1 species